rnacentral:rRNA from 1 species
CUUGACUGUAGCCUGGAAUUGGGUUCGGGCUUUUCUUGCGCAGCCUAGGUGGGAGGCUAUGAAGAUUUCCUUCCGGGGAAGUUGGAGCCAUCAGUGAGAGACCACUCCGGAGAGGCUAGAAUCCUAAUGGUGAUCCUUGAAUCAGGACACUUGACAGUUUCAGGUGGGCAGUUUUUCUGGGGCGGAAGCCUCAUAAAGGGUAACUGAGGCGCGCAAAGGUCCCCUCAGUCUGGACGGAAAUCAGACAACGAGUGUAAAGGCAAAAGGGGGCUUGACUGCAAGACCUACAAGUCGAGCAGGAGCGAAAGCUGGCCUUAGUGAUCCGACGGUACCGUGUGGAAGGGCCGGCGCUCAACGAAUAAAAGUUA